UUAGUAGCGGCGAGUGAAGCGGCAAAAGCUCAAAUUUGAAAUCUGGCUCUUUCAGAGUCCGAGUUGUAAUUUGAAGAAGGUAUCUUUGGGUCUGGCUCUUGUCUAUGUUUCUUGGAACAGAACGUCACAGAGGGUGAGAAUCCCGUGCGAUGAGAUGAUCCAGGCCUAUGUAAAGUUCCUUCGAAGAGUCGAGUUGUUUGGGAAUGCAGCUCUAAGUGGGUGGUAAAUUCCAUCUAAAGCUAAAUAUUGGCGAGAGACCGAUAGCGAACAAGUACAGUGAUGGAAAGAUGAAAAGAACUUUGAAAAGAGAGUGAAAAAGUACGUGAAAUUGUUGAAAGGGAAGGGCUUGAGAUCAGACUUGGUAUUUUGUAUGUUACUUCUUCGGGGGUGGCCUCUACAGUUUAUCGGGCCAGCAUCAGUUUGGGCGGUAGGAGAAUUGCGUUGGAAUGUGGCACGGCUUCGGUUGUGUGUUAUAGCCUUCGUCGAUACUGCCAGCCUAGACUGAGGACUGCGGUUUAUACCUAGGAUGUUGGCAUAAUGAUCUUAAGUCGC
rnacentral:rRNA from 1 species